AGAUUACGUACAUUCCUCUUCCUCCUUUCGCUCCCUUUCAGUACAAUCAGUACGUUGGCUGAAGAGUGAUCUUGUCCUCUGGUGAUCUAUAUCACAGUUCACAUACUCUGUAUAUUCCCAUCAAGAGAAGUGUUUCAGACCAGAUUCCAGGUGAUCCAGAACCAUCCAGAAUGAAAUAUGAAGAUAUUGAGGAACAAAGAGAUCUGACCGAAGUGAAAGAGGGACGUCAAGACCUGAAUUAAGUGGAGGAGAAACAUUAUAACGUCAUAUGAGAAGAAAAACGUUUUAGCUGCUCACAGAUGGAAAAUAAUUUCUCACAGAACAGAACUCAAACAACAAGAGCUAAAAAAACGUUCACCUGCCCUCAGUGUGGAAAAAGUGUCACGCAUAAAGGAACCUUUGUAAAACACCUAAGAGUUCAUACUGGAGAGAAGCCUUACACAUGCCCUCAGUGUGGUAAAAGUUUCCCGCAUAUAGGAGACCUUAAUAGACACCUAAGAGCUCAUACUGGAGAGAGGCCUUAUACAUGUCAUCAGUGUGGGAAGAGUUUCAUACGUAAAGACACCCUUAAUGUACACUUGAGAAGACAUUCUUGAGAGGAGCAUUUCACAUGCCCUCAUUGUGGAAAGACAUUCUCACAUUCAUACAGACUCACUUUCCAUCUGCGCUGUCACUCUGGUGGAAAGCCAUUCUGCUGUGAUCAGUGUGGUAAAACAUUUAUGUCUGCAUCAGUGCUAAAAGGCCACCUGAAAGUCCAUAUGAAAUAAAAGCCUUACUUGUGUUCUUUGUGAGGAAAGAGUUUUUUAUGGGUGAGCCAUUGGAAGGAACACCAGAAAGUACAUAUUGGUGUGAGAGAUCAUGUGUGCUCGGAGUGUGGGAAGGCCUAUAUUAAGGUUUCUCAAUUGAAAUAUCACCAAAGAAUACAAACUGAAGAAAAACCUUACAAGUGCUCACAUUGUGACACAAGAUUUAUUAAGUUAUGGCAAUUGAGAAAACAUGAGAGAGUGCAUACUGGAGAGAAAAAGUGUUGGCGGAGUGAGUAAAGAAUUUCAGUUGUGUUGUGGCUUGGCCGGGUGUAAAGGCCCCGGCAUUCUCACAGCGAAGUGCUUCUUUGCUCAGAGCGAAAAUAAGUUCUGAACAGCUGAGCAACGACAUAAUGCUCGUGAACAUUUAGACACUGGCCACAUUGCUGGGGGUGGCGUUUAGAGGAUCAUUUAAACAUGAGGACGCAAUAAGACUACAUGCAAAACCUUGACUAAUGUGACAUUAAAAUGUGUUAUUAAUAACUUCAUGCCUCAUUCUAUGAGUACAAUUCACACAAGAUCAGUCAAAGAAGCUGUUUUAACCAUUUGAUGAUGAUUUAAAGUAAUAUGCCCUAGAUAAUGUGUAAUUUGUCAUGUUUACAUCCUGCAUUUGUGGAGUUAAUGCACUAACAUGCAAUGCACAGCAAUGUUGACAGAUCUUGACUGACUGACGAAUGUUAACGCAAUCAGUGGUUGGCCUCAAAGUAGGUGUAGCUCCAGGUCGAGGACCAAUGGCAGUAAGAAGGUGUUUAGCAGCCAAUAUGAAGUUUUCCUUAAAGUUUGCACUGGCUAGCUAUUAUGAAUCAUUCAACUCAAAAACACCUUUGUUUUGGCUAGAUUUAGUUUGAAAUGACGUAACACCCCUUUGUUCUUCAAUUUCAUAUGAAGUAUGGUGGCAUGUAAAUGUAAUGUAGUAACCCCCCCCCCCAAGAAACUUCUGAUGCCCCCACCUGGACUGACGGCAAAACUGUCAUUGUUGCCCCCCCACCC